AUUUUUAUAUGUGUCAUCGUUGACAUGAAAUAAUAUGUCAGUUUAUUAACGAAGACUUGCGAUGUUUGAAUUAUUACCCUAAAUCAACUCAAAAGUGUAAAUUGUGAAACAUCUUUGCAAGUUUGUGUAAGAGAGCUUUGGUGUUGAGAUGCCGACGGGUGGGAACGUUAUCGCGGUGCGUUUGUGUUAAGUUUGGUUCAAGGGCCGAGUUUCUUCCUUCAUUACGCGGCAUCAAAGACGCAUAAUGGCGCCUUUCCAGCACACGCAGCGAGUAACUCCUUUGCCUACGAAGAUUCCGAUUGCCCCACUAAUCCUUCAGUAACUAUAAUCGCCUAUCCGCACAAGACGCACAUUUACCCUUCUCUAAUAGUGAUUAUAUCUAGAUGUUACAGAGUCAAAGUUAAUUAUAUUUAUAUUAUUACAGAAAA